UACGUAGGGUGCAAGCGUUGUCCGGAAUUAUUGGGCGUAAAGAGCUCGUAGGCGGUCUGUCGCGUCGGCUGUGAAAACCCGGAGCUCAACUCCGGGCCUGCAGUCGAUACGGGCAGACUGGAGUUCGGCAGGGGAGACUGGAAUUCCUGGUGUAGCGGUGAAAUGCGCAGAUAUCAGGAGGAACACCGAUGGCGAAGGCAGGUCUCUGGGCCGGAUACUGACGCUGAGGAGCGAAAGCGUGGGGAGCGAACAGG
rnacentral:rRNA from 1 species